CUGCAGUCUCACUAGACUCUUUUUCUUCCCUGUCGAUUCAUUCAUCAACAACCUUCUUUGUCGCCCUCGUCCCCUCCUAAAUGAUGCCGGGUUCCAUUCACAUUCAAUUCACUUAUUUCAGGAGGUGCACAUCUAAAUCUUGAAUAUGCCAAAAGGUGCAUUCAAAGGUCAUUAGCGGUAGCUGUCCAACUACACAUAAUUGGCUGUACAUGUUACUGAAAAUACUGCCUGUAUUUUAAAUGCCUAAACUACACCACCAUUCAAAAGUUUGAGGUCACCCAGACAAUUUCAUGUUUUCCAUGAAAACUCACACUUUUAUUCAUGUGCUAAUAUAAUUGCACAAGGGUUUUCUAAUCAUCAAUUAGCCUUUCAACACCAUCAGCUAACACAAUGUAGCAUUAGAACACAGGAGUGAUGGUUGCUGGAAAUGUUCCUCUGUACCCCUAUGUAGAUAUUCCAUUAAAAAUCAGCUGUUUCCAGCUAGGAUAGCCAUUUAGUACAUUAACAAUGUCUAGACUUUAUGAUUCAUUUAAUGUUAUCUUCAUUGAAAAAAAGCUUCUCUUUCAAAAGCAAGGACAUUUCUAAGUGACCCCAAACUUUUGAACGGUAGUAUAGGUCUGAACGAUUUGGUAAAAAUAUCCAGUUGUGACUUUUCAGAUUUUGCGAUUAUAUCUGUGCACUUCAUCAGUAAAACAGCAGCUCUGUUUAAGAGGUAAAAACAGCAUCGUUUACACAAGCGGCCUCUUGCGCUCGAGUGAAUAUGUGCACCUAAAAUCUCAGACCUUUUCACAACGGUGGUGGUGCCACCACUAUUGCUGUUUUUACACAUUGCAGGACUCGUCAUCCAAGUAACCAAGAUAAUGGAGGAGAAGAGCACAAACUUAACCGAACAGAAAAUGAAAAUAAUAUUAAAUCACUGCGCUCGAGCUGAAAUAAACUGCUUUGACUGAUUGUCCUGUUAUUGACUUAUGCAACCAUCGUAAGCACCAAAUGCUGGCUUUGUCGCUCUUCAUAUCACGUCAUGUACAGUAUGUUGUUUUGUCUUUGGCAAUUGACCCAUUUUCUUGUUCUGGUGUAGAUUUGUGAUAUAUAUAUAUAUAUAUAUAUAUAUAUAU
ensembl:lncRNA